rnacentral:rRNA from 1 species
GACGUAGGGCGCGAGCGUUGUCCGGAUUUAUUGGGCGUAAAGAGCUCGUAGGCGGCUCGUUGCGUCGGCUGUGAAAACCCGCAGCUCAACUGUGGGCUUGCAGCCGAUACGGGCGGGCUUGAGUUCGGUAGGGGAGACUGGAAUUCCUGGUGUAGCGGUGAAAUGCGCAGAUAUCAGGAGGAACACCUGUGGUGUAGACGGCUCUCUGGACCGCAACUGACGCUGAGACACGAAAGCGUGGGGAGCAAACAGG